AGAGGAAUAGCUGGGUCAAAUGAGGUUCCAUUCCCAUCUUUCCAAGGAAUCUCCAUACUGCUUUCCAAAUUGGCUGCACUAAUUUGCAGUCCCACCAGCAGU
rnacentral:pre_miRNA from 1 species